rnacentral:rRNA from 1 species
AAGAGACAGCAGUAGCCGCGGUAAUACGGAAGGUCCAGGUGUUAUCCGGAUUUAUUGGGUUUAAAGGGAGCGUAGGCCGCAGGUUAAGUGUGUUGUGAAAAGCAGUCGCCCAACGUCUGCCUUGCAGCGCAAACUGUCCUGCUUGAGUGCGCACAACGCAGGCGGAAUUCGUCGUGUAGCGGUGAAAUGCUUAGAUAUGACGAAGAACUCCGAUUGCGAAGGCAGCUUGCGGGAGCGCAACUGACGCUGAAGCUCGAAAGUGCGGGUAUCGAACAGGAUUAGAGACCCGAGUAGUCCCUGUCUCUUAUAC